UGUUUUUUACUUGGUUUCAGGCAUGAAAAAGAAAAUAAUAAUAAUUUGUUAUAUAUGACAGGAGAUUUUAUUCAGCAGGAACUUAUUUUUUCAUGUGAAUCCAAGUGGGAAAAUGUUUUUCUUAUUUACAUGUCAAAACAAUCAUGUGCGAAGCAGAACAGUAGUUUUGUUUUUGUUUGUUUGUUUUUUUCAUGUAUGAAACCCAGUGAGAUAAAAACUAAGUUUCAGGAGAAAACUUGUGCUGUGACAGAAUGUCAGAAUGAAGCUUUUCCACAGCUGCAGCGCCCCCUGCAGGAGGACUGAACUCUGCUGCAGCUCAGAGAAAAGACGCACAAAAUAUUCUUUUCUCCUGCAAAAAGUGUUUUUCCUUCUUUGUUUUAAAUCUUGGUUUCACACAUGAAUAAAAAAAAUCCAGAAAAAAAUAAGUAAUUCACUUGUUGUCACAGAUGAAAAAAAAUGAAACAACUCCUGCUACACUUUCUCCCAGCAGGUCUCAGAUCAGAUGCAUAAAAGAUCACCAGCCCCUCGGGGCUUCCGUAGCAUUCCAUGGUAGCUCCAAAACUACAGGGUGCAGCAUAACCGCUAACUGCUGCUCGCUGUAUUCUGCUGUAGUGAUUAGCUGCUGUUCUGACCGUUGUCUCAGAAACAAAUGAAGUUAACGAGGACAUUAAAUUCCUCUUAGUUAGUGAACUGGCUGCGUCACAUCUCCAGCAUCUGAGCCACAGAGUGCUGUUAGGAAGCUAGCUGGUUAGCAUGCUAACUUCAGUAGCGCCGCCUGUGACAUCAUCACUGUUGUUUCGUCACUGUCAUCAUGACGUUGGCUCAGUUUGAAUAUUCACACUUCAUACAAGCAUUAAAUGACAGACUGCUCCUUUAACUCAGCAUGUGUUCGCUGGAGUGUCGUGACCUUUGACCUGCAGAGACUCAGAAUUCCUUGCAGCCUGCAGUCUCACCUGACUGGAGCUGUUGGCAGACAGCGCCGCCUGCUGGACUCUCCCUGACCUGCACCGUCUCCUCUGACUCCCCAAAAUAAUGAAAAGCGUGUUUCUGUGUCUCCAUCAGGUGACCAGCUGCUGCGUCACGACAAACACGCUCACAGGUGGAUGCGUGACGCGUCGCUUGACUUUGUCGUGGGCACGUAGCUGGCAGAUGACCACAGACUCAACCAGAUGUAUCGGACAGUUUUUAAGUUAAAAUAAUAAUAAUAAUUUCUCUUGCUGUUUUUCAGACCAUUCCAGGGUGACCUGAGCCAGGUGAGACAUGACGUCACUGCUCACCUGGAGAAUGAAUACAGCCCAUAAUAACCAGUCAGUGGAGUUAUUGAUGAUCGAUCAGACAGCUGAUCUACGUCCACAUGUGAUAUGAGUCACAGUGCUGUGAGGUAUCAGAAGUCCCGGAGGACCUGACCUGUAGCUGUCAGCUGGUUCCAGGUGAUUCAUGACGUGUUUCCUCUCCUGUGAACAUGUUUGUUCUGCUUUUUAAAUUUCCCUUCUACCAAAGCAGAUCAAUAAUAUAACAUUAUUUUAUACUUGCAAGUCAUACAUCAAUCUCAUAUUCUAAAAAGUGGAGGUAUAUUAAAACCUUGAAUUUGAAGCCUGUUUAACAUUUGUGUGAUUUAUGUCUUCUGACAGUGUUUGA